CAAAUAUUUUAAUAAAGUUAUAUUUUAUAACCUAUUUUUAUUGAGAAUAAUUUAAAACUUAGAUAUUAUAUCAAAUUGUAUACAAUAUACAAAUAUCUCAGGGUAAAUUCGAUUUAUUCAGGGUUGAAGCAGAGGCAUUUAUUCCAUCUUGUUAGGUGAAAGAUGGAUGUUUAUUUUGUCCAACUGGUGUUCAUGCAAUGAAAACUGCCUAUAAUCAUUUUCCAAUCGAUGAUUUCUGCAACAAGCUCAGACUUAAAAGAGUUAAGGUAACUGGAGGUCAUUAAAUUUUACAAUACUGAUUGCUAAUUUAACUGUUUUAUAUGAUUAAAAAAACUAUUACAGUUUUAUAUUAACGUUGAAGUACUAUACCAAAAAAAACUAGUUUUUUUUUUCCAAUAAGUAAUAUUUUGAAUCUGUUUAUGGUAUUAUUAUUGCCUAGAUAUAUAUUGUAAUCUUUUUACACUUAUUAUACAUUUUAGUUUUUACAUAUUUUUGUUUAUAUUUAUUUUACUAAAUAAUUACUAAUAGAUAAAGAAGUAUGCGAAGGAUUUAAUUUCCCAACUACAGAGUACUCCAAAAAAUAUUCUGUAUCUAAAUGAUAUCCUGACCUAUCGAAUCGAUAUCCUGGUAAUCCACUCACACACAUAAAUCUUUAAAAAUAUGUUUAUAUUUUUAUCUAUA
rnacentral:lncRNA from 1 species